UCGGAGCAACCUCCGAUCAGGACCUUUUUGUAGGUUACAUUUCAGGAGACCCCAUCUCGCCAUACACUCUAGCGUCUCCGCAUCUUGCGAAAUCUCGCACCAAUAGGUAUAAUAAGGAUAUAUCUGGACAGGGAAUUUUUGAUUGCAUCUGAAUCCAAAUGGUGCCAAUUCUUUUUUCCAGGCCCUUUCAAUCAACCUACAUAAUAGUCCAACGGGAUAAUAGCGUAGAGAGUCCAUAAUAUUUCCACUUAUUACAAACGGAUAAAGAAAACAUACAUAAUCGGCAGCACAGAGCAAGAAGACAACAAUAUACACAAUUUGGAGAUAGCAACCCGACUAUUUAUUACAAUUUUGCAUAGAUCAGAAAUAGAUAUCCCAUUCCAUAGGUAAUUUGGUAUAGCUAGACCAAACUGGGCUUCUAAGUAAAAGCUGAAUGCAUCAAGUCAUUGGUUCUCCCAUUUUUUUUAAAAGAAAAUCUGACUUUGAAACGAGUCGAUUAUCCCGAAUUUACAAUUGGAUUGCAAGGGCAAGCCUUUCACUUGCCUUGGCGUUUCUGUUUCUCCUAACAGAAUUGUUAAAAGAGACGCCUUUGAGCUGGUUGACAGAAUUCGUAGGAAGAUGGCCAGGUAGAGCCAAAUAUUUCUCCACUGUUCCAGUAUAGGCCUCUAUGGGACGCGUGCGCCGGGCUUUGG
rnacentral:lncRNA from 1 species